rnacentral:rRNA from 1 species
UACUCUUAGCGGUCGAUCACUCGGCUCGUGUGUCAAUGAAGAACGCAGCUAGCUGCAAGAUCUAAUGUGAAUUACUGAUCAUCGACACUUCAAACGCACAUUGCGGCCCCGGGUUCCUCACAGGGCUAUGCCUGUCUGAGGGUCA